GGAUGAACGCUAGCGGCAGGCUUAACACAUGCAAGUCGAGGGGCAGCGGGGAGGAAGCUUGCUUUCUCCGCCGGCGACCGGCGCACGGGUGAGUAACACGUAUGCAACCUGCCCCUGUCAGGGGGACAACCCGCCGAAAGGCGGGCUAAACCCGCGUACAUGCCACCGGGGCAUCCCGGAGGCAGGAAAGGCUUCGGCCGGACAGGGAUGGGCAUGCGGCGCAUUAGGCAGUAGGCGGGGUAACGGCCCACCUAACCGACGAUGCGUAGGGGUUCUGAGAGGAAGGUCCCCCACACUGGUACUGAGACACGGACCAGACUCCUACGGGAGGCAGCAGUGAGGAAUAUUGGUCAAUGGUCGGGAGACUGAACCAGCCAAGCCGCGUGAGGGAGGAAGGUACAGAGUAUCGUAAACCUCUUUUGUCAGGGAACAAAGACUGGGACGCGUCCCCGGAUGAGUGUACCUGAAGAAAAAGCAUCGGCUAACUCCGUGCCAGCAGCCGCGGUAAUACGGAGGAUGCGAGCGUUAUCCGGAUUUAUUGGGUUUAAAGGGUGCGCAGGCGGUCUGUUAAGUCAGCGGUCAAAGCCCGGGGCUCAACCCCGGCCCGCCGUUGAAACUGGCAGUCUCGAGUUGGAGAGAAGUAUGCGGAAUGCGCGGUGUAGCGGUGAAAUGCAUAGAUAUCGCGCAGAACUCCGAUUGCGAAGGCAGCAUGCCGGCUCCACACUGACGCUGAGGCACGAAAGCGUGGGUAUCGAACAGGAUUAGAUACCCUGGUAGUCCACGCAGUAAACGAUGAAUGCUGGCUGUCCGGGGGGACUGACCCCUGGGUGGCGAAGCGAAAGCGAUAAGCAUUCCACCUGGGGAGUACGCCGGCAACGGUGAAACUCAAAGGAAUUGACGGGGGCCCGCACAAGCGGAGGAACAUGUGGUUUAAUUCGAUGAUACGCGAGGAACCUUACCCGGGCUCAAACGGGGAGUGGCGCAGGCAGAGACGCCUGUUUCCCACGGGACACUCCCCGAGGUGCUGCAUGGUUGUCGUCAGCUCGUGCCGUGAGGUGUCGGCUUAAGUGCCAUAACGAGCGCAACCCCCGCGUGCAGUUGCUAACAGUCAACGCUGAGGACUCUGCACGGACUGCCGGCGCAAGCCGCGAGGAAGGCGGGGAUGACGUCAAAUCAGCACGGCCCUUACGUCCGGGGCGACACACGUGUUACAAUGGGUGGUACAGCGGGAAGCCAGGCGGCGACGCCGAGCGGAACCCGAAAUCCACUCUCAGUUCGGAUCGGAGUCUGCAACCCGACUCCGUGAAGCUGGAUUCGCUAGUAAUCGCGCAUCAGCCAUGGCGCGGUGA
rnacentral:rRNA from 1 species